rnacentral:rRNA from 1 species
CUCCUACGGGAGGCAGCAGUGGGGAAUAUUGCACAAUGGGCGAAAGCCUGAUGCAGCGACGCCGCGUGAGGGAUGACUGCCUUCGGGUUGUAAACCUCUUUCAGCAGGGACGAAGCGAAAGUGACGGUACCUGUAGAAGAAGCACCGGCCAACUACGUGCCAGCAGCAGCCGCGGUAAUUC